CUUAAAAAAUAAAAAGGAACACAGGAACGAAGGAAGGCUUACAUAAAAUUUUCAAAUUCAAGAUAAAUGUGAGGAUUCUCAUUCAUUUAAAUACUUAGAAAUAAAAAAGUGCUGUCUCAAUCUUGAGAGUUGAAGUAGUAGUAUUAAAAAAGAAUAGUUUACUUAACAAGCACUAUCAGUAGAAAAUAUAAAUUUGCUCAAGAAAGUUUUGAAGAUAUUUAUGGAUAAACUGUGAUUUUUUAAAACAAUGUACUCAUUUCAAGUAGCUCUGGGAAAUUGAUCAUCUUUAAAUAAAUACGAAUCCUGACUUUAUUUUUAAAAAAGAAAGAAUCCUGACUUUCUGAACAAUUCAUGUAGAAUUGAAGAGGGUGGACUCAGAGUACCACUGCCUGGUUUGUCAAUACAGUGUCUCCACUUAAUGUGUGAUAUUUGAGUGUUAUUUAAUUUUACUAAGUCUCAUUUUAAUCUCUAGCAGGGAAGUAUGCCAGACUGUCUCUCACUGGGUGGUCCUGAAGUUUUUAGCAGCGUUAGACACAUAUGAAGUACUGAAAAAUGCAAGUUAUUAUUCUAUACCAUAAAAUGCAUAUUUGGUGACACUUUGAACUUUCAAGAACAAAGAUAUCCUGUACAUUCCUUACAGCUAUUCUAAAGAUCAGAUAUUGAGCGUGUCGGAAACUUGCAACAUCUACCCUAUUUUUAACCUCUUUUGUAGUAUUCCCAAUGGUCCAAUUUUGAAAAUAUAGAACUCCUGAAGCUUAUUAUAUGUCCAAAUCUGUCAUCAGUUGUAUUUGGAAAUAUUCUGCACCGGUUUCUGGCCACUGAGAUGAAGUUGGAAAUAAAGGAUGCCACUACCAAGUUGAUUUCUUCAGUCUCCUCUCUUUUUUCCUUCUCGUUCAGUCUUGCAGGUAAGAAAUAAUUUUUUUAGUGUUAAAUUUGUGAUAUUUAGACAUUGCAGGACUAUAUUAAAUCAUUCCAAUACCAUUUACUAAACAACUUAUGCAAGCCAUACAUGCUCCUAGUUAGAUAGUUACCAAUGUACCUCUGAAAAUGAACAUUGCUUAAAGAGAAUUAUCUAUGAAUCUUUGGCACUAUCUUAAUUAAAUAUGGUAUGUCUAGUCCUCAGCUCAAUAGAUACAGCAUUUAUAGUCAUAUUUAGGAAAAUGGCUUGUUCAGCUCCAAGCAUAGCUCAGUGAUAAAAAAACAGUACAACCAGCGAGGAGAGCGAGCCUGGGAGUAGCUUCAGAAAGCCCCAUUAAAGGAUGACUGUGUAAGUGGGCAGAGGUAAGAACUUGAGAAUCAUCAAGGGUCAAGGAAGUGAAAUGACCUCUCAAAGAGCGUUCCCUUAGGAAGCUUUCAGCAGUUGAGGGCAACU
rnacentral:lncRNA from 1 species